rnacentral:rRNA from 1 species
AGCAGUAGCCGCGGUAAUACGUAGGUGGCAAGCGUUGUCCGGAAUUAUUGGGCGUAAAGGGCUCGCAGGCGGUUUCUUAAGUCUGAUGUGAAAGCCCCCGGCUCAACCGGGGAGGGUCAUUGGAAACUGGGAAACUUGAGUGCAGAAGAGGAGAGUGGAAUUCCACGUGUAGCGGUGAAAUGCGUAGAGAUGUGGAGGAACACCAGUGGCGAAGGCGACUCUCUGGUCUGUAACUGACGCUGAGGAGCGAAAGCGUGGGGAGCGAACAGGAUUAGAUACCCGGGUAGUCCCUGUCUCUUAUAA